GACGAACGUUGGCGGCGUGCUUAACACAUGCAAGUCGAACGAUGAAGCCGGAGCUUGCUCUGGUGAAUUAGUGGCGAACGGGUGAGUAACACGUGAGUAACCUGCCCUUGACUCUGGGAUAACUGCGGGAAACUGUAGCUAAUACCGGAUACGACCCUCGGAGGCAUCUCCUGGGGGUGGAAAGAAUUUCGGUCAAGGAUGGACUCGCGGCCUAUCAGCUAGUUGGUGAGGUAAAGGCUCACCAAGGCGACGACGGGUAGCCGGCCCGGGCGGGUCACCGGCACACUGGGACUGAGACACGGCCCAGACUCCUACGGGAGGCAGCAGUGGGGAAUAUUGCACAAUGGGCGCAAGCCUGAUGCAGCAACGCCGCGUGAGGGAUGACGGCCUUCGAGUUGUAAACCUCUUUUAGUAGGGAAGAAGCGAAAGUGGCGGUACCUGCAGAAAAAGCACCGGCUAACUACGUGCCAGCCGCCGCGGUAA
rnacentral:rRNA from 1 species